GCAGCGCCCCGGCGCUAAGCUUUACUCCUUGCUUACACUGAUGAAAUUGGGUCCUAUGAGGCAGCUGCAUAGAAAACUGUUUAGGAUUAUGACUUUAAACACAUGGAUUAAAAAUCUUUUUCAUUAGGAAUGGUGAAUUACACAAGUGGAAUUUGGCGUUUGAUGGCCAGUUAUGUGGCAAAAAAGGAUGAGAAUUUAAGGUCCUAAGCAUGAAGCCACCAGCCAUGGGUAUACAGGUUCUUGGGAAAGCCUGAAGUGGAAAUGGGUCUCACAGUGCAGCUCAGGCUGUCCUUG